CGGGUCUUAGGCCGCAGCUGCAGUGUCUUUGACUGUAUGCUGCAGCUGGCCUGUAUGGACCUAGACUACAACAGGAGGAGUCUGAAACUUUGUCCUGGCAGUUGCAGGUGUGAGCAUGCAUACAGCUGUUUGAUGCUCAUGUAUGAUACUGCACACAAAC
rnacentral:snoRNA from 12 species